UUUAACAGUAUUUCUGUAAGAGAGGACAGACCUACACACGCGUAUUUACGUUAGUGCUUUUCAUAUCUGCAAUAUUAUUAGACAAAUAAGUACAUUAGGAGUGGUCUUCCUUGUUAUUUAUAUAUGAAUAUUACUACUCUGAUGUAUCCGUAAGUGAGAUAAUCUUCAUAAUUAUCACGGAGCCCAAACACGGGUGAAAAAGUUAAUCUGUCCUUUACUUUGUGUGAUAUUAUAUGUGGUGCCAAGAAUUCUAGUCUCGGAAUAUAUUCAGUUAUCAGUACAACUUUGUGUUACUGUUUUUCCUCCUAUUUCAACGACAACGACUAUUAGUAAGUGACUUGUGAACUGUCAAACAAAGAUGUGAUUCCUAUAUGUCCCUAUAGGCUUCACCACCAGACACUAACCCCCUUCCAAGGAAUCCCUUCUCUUGUUACAGGUAUGUAGACCUUACGAUCAUGACCACACAUAGCUGAUACAACCCUCACCCUAACACACAACUAUGACGUGUUAUCACUUCACUAUAUUUCUGCCAUGAUUAAUGAAAAAUCUUAUCAUGCUAUCCACCCAUCAUCACCCUACACAUUUGGCAAACCCCUUUCUGGUCCUCGGUGAUGGAAAGAAUGAGUUAAUCGUUAAUUCCUUACUUGGCCAUUUUGGGAGUUAUAUGUAAUCUUAUCAACGCAACUGCCUUUUGUCUCAAUGGCAUACAUAUUGAUAUUAUGUACAAUAGACUGUCUCGUUUUCAGAUAUAUUUUUUUUUCUACUCAAGCACAUAUAUCUUUUCUGCUGUUGACAAUCACAAAACCCACUUUGACAAAGUUAAAUGCCAUUUUUGGCAUGGUGCAGGUCAUUUCAAUUUGGGGGAGCUGCAGCUGGUUUCCAAUAAUUUCAUUAGACGUGCUAAAUGAUAUGUGGGUUCCCCCUGUUUUAUCAAAGAUAACGUUCCUCCUCCUUUUUGUUCAAAAACUAUCACUUCAACUAGGCUUCAAUUUAGAUAUGUUAUGUUUUGUCCCCGAAAACGGAACAGUCUAAAGUACAUAUCAUUAUUAUUAUUACGAUUGUUUGUAAACUUAUGGGUAUAUGUCUGUAUAUAAAAUAUAUACGGAAAGAAUGGCUAGUACAUCAUCAUGGAGAUAAUAUUUUCCACGUUUCUUUAAAGUCUCACUUCCUGUCUCUUGUUGAGUCUUUUUCUUGAAAAGAAAAGAGUCCGUCUCUCUCUCUCUCUCUCUGUCUUGACAGUGAUUAUAUUGACAAUACAUUUGUAUUAAUUAAUCGUUUGUCAUCAUUUAUUCUAAUGGAAUAUACCUAUAUGUAUAUUAUUUAUUUAUUUCAUCCAAGUUGUAUAUACUUCAAUCUAAUUUCCGUAGAAU
rnacentral:misc_RNA from 1 species